rnacentral:lncRNA from 1 species
UAAGUGAGAGUCUGACUUAUGUGCUUUCGAAAGUUUAAAUUUUUUUUUUACUUAUAAGUUACUUUUGACGACGGAAUAUUAUAAUUCAAUGAUCGAUUUUAUUAGACAUAAUUUACGUAACCCAAAUUUCAUAAACUUUCGACCUUAUCCGACAAGUGAUCAAACGGUCUCCAAAAUAACUAUUUUAAUGACCGGUAUGGUACAUUUAUAAGUUCAAUGUAUAGAACAAUUUAUCAUAAUUUUUUUAUAAAAUUUUUAAUUCUGACGUUCAUUUUAAGACUAUCGUUCAUUAGAUAACUAAUAUCAAAAAAUUUUAAAAUUUAGUUUUAAGAUAGUUUCAAUAGUAUAGAUUAUAUCUCACGAAACAAAUCGUCGAAUCUGAUAUUCCGUCUAAAAAUAAAUUAAAAGCACGAGAAUGUUCGUACUUUUGAAAAUAUAGAAGUGUAACUCGAAUAUUCCUCCUAAACACUCCCCCUUCCUCCCUCGUCUCCAUAAUAGAAUUGAGUUGGAUUUCGAACUCGAGACAUUAUUCUCAAAAAAGAUAAAAAUAUGUAAAACUCAUCCCAAGUAUCGCCUAUUUUGAUCUGAUUAUCUAAUUUUAAAAAAUUUUAAUUUUGCUACAUAAUCUUUCAAUUCAUUUGAUUUGAGCCGGUUAACGACUCUCUAAUUUCAAAUUGGGACUGUGUUGUUUAUCUUUACGGAUUUAGUUAGUAUAUUUUAUACAAUUCGUGUACUACAAAUUUAUUAAAGUUAGCGAUUUCUUUAAAUUCUGUAUCAAAAUAGUUUUCAACCUAAUGAGUUAAAUCAAACAAAUCGAAGGAUUUUGUACUAAAAUAAAAUUUUUAAAAUUUUAGAUAGUCAAAUCAAAUUUAC